GGUUGAUCCUGCCAGUAGUCAUAUGCUUGUCUCAAAGAUUAAGCCAUGCAUGUCUCAGUGUAAACUUUUAAACGGUGAAACUGCGAAUGGCUCAUUACAACAGUUAUAGUUUAUUUGAUGUUCAUUCUUACAUGGAUAACCGUGGGAAUUCCAGGGCUAAUACAUGCGGCUCGAAAGAGCGAGUGUUUAUUAGAUUCAAACCAAAACCGGGCAACCGGGUACAUUGGAAUGAUAAUAACCUAUCGAAUCGCAUGCCGUAUGGUGGCGAUAGAUCAUUCAAGUUUCUGACCUA
rnacentral:rRNA from 1 species